rnacentral:lncRNA from 1 species
UUUCCCCAAACAUUCCCUCUCUUUGAUUUUUCCAGAUCUGAAGUAGGAAUUCAAUUUCAAAAACCAAUAACAAAACAAAAAUUCACAAAUCAAAAAAAGUGAUUACUGUUUCAUUCAUUUUUAGUUCAAUAUUCAAGCUUUCUGAACUUCAAAGGAUUUCUAGAUUGAUUCUGAGUGAAUUUGGGUCUUAACGAGUGGAUUGUAGUAUACUUUGGAUUGCUGAAAGUUUAAGGGUGUGCUGGUUUGUUUUUGAGUUAAUUUGGUGCCAUCUUUGGUGGAUUUAUGGCUUUCAUUUGGAUUUAAAUAUUUCAAGGCUUCUUACUCUAGUUCCUGAGCUGUGUUGAGUAUUAAACUAUUGCUGCUCUGCCUCUAGCUGCUGAUCUCUCCUGUUUCUUAAUUUCAUAUCUCAUG